rnacentral:lncRNA from 1 species
UAGUAUUUCAUUUUUGAAUUCUAAGUGUUUUUUUAAUGAUCAGUAAAUUUGAUAAUGGUGAGCUGCUUAAGAUUGUAUUUAGUGGUUUGAUUAACAAAAUCUCUUGAUUUAUACAGAUUCACUUUAAGACUUAAAAAAGGAUAAUAAUUACCCGAAAGAAUAACAAUGAACUAUGUUUGAGAAGAUUUUGUCUUCCUAACCUGUAGCACAUCAUCCACAAAAAAAUGAGUUGGAUUUUUUUCCCGACCACGAAAGAGGUUGCCAGUGACUCUUAUGAACUAUUUUAUCAAUUAAAUUACCAAGCUUUUCCAUCUAAAUAACAACAAAAAAAAUACGAAAAAUCUCCUUGUCGGAGGUGACAAAGACGUUU